rnacentral:lncRNA from 1 species
CCUUUUAGAGAAUUUACUAUUUGUGCCCUUAAUCAUACACUUCAUAUUUAUCAUUUUCCGGCUGUAGAUCUUACCUAUUGAAAAAUCCUAAUGGUAUCCUCUUGUAAGGAUCAAAAUUCACAUGGUCAAUUACUAUUCUAAAAGUUGCAUAGCCCCCUUAGGUUAAACAUGUUAUAAACUUCUAGGGAGUUAAACUGUUGAAAUUGGAGCAAAGAGAGAGUUUUAAGCAACUGCAAUGACAAUGAAGAUUCUGGCAUGGACCUUCUAAUUUCGCGUCCAUUCUCAUUGGUCAAGCCUCUUGAGUAAUUCAAGCUAUCUUGGAUUUCGCCCAGUUUGUUGCAUCAACUAAUGGAUAGUUGAGUAUGCAAAGUUAGGGACAGGAAGGACCUAUAAUUUCGAUGGUGUCUUGACUUUACAGUUUGGUACCCUCAUGGAAUCCUUUGGGAAAGAAAAAGAUACAGAGUACUUUUGGUGUUUUUCUUUUGGAGAUGGAAAGUUUUGUUAUUGGCAUUCACAAAUGGGGUAAAAUUGCAGAUCUCUAGAUGAUAUUGGGCAUGCUAGUUUUGGUAAGGCCAGUGAUGCAGGUGGCUACUAUGAGAUAAAACUUCAAGUUGCUGCAAGUUAAAAAUGCAAUAGGGGGAGGGGAAGGUUGAAUAUAAAAUAGGUGGAAUUCAUAAGAUAGAUCAAAAUAUCACAUAUUAAAUGGUGACUUGUCUUACUAUUAGGCAAAAUGGCUGGAUAGGAUCCUUGUAAUUAAACCAAGGUUGUGAUUCAAAUGGUACUUCUAGGGGAACAAAUUUACGAUUUGAUCUUAGAGAAUUGACAGUUAGAAAUGUUCAAGCAAACUAACAAAUUCAAAUGUAAUAGGGCUGUGUAAACUAGUGAGAAACAAUUGUAUAUUUGAGAUGAAAAACACCUACCAGAUUUAGAAGUACUCGUAUGAAGCAAAGUUAGGGCAAGGCCUGAAGAUGAGAGAACGAUUGCAGAUAGUAUUUCAAGGCGUAGGAUCAACCACUCAUUUGCUGUGAAACUAUAGAAGAAUGGACUUGCAUUCAUGUCAAUGAAGCCCAAAUUCUUUGAAAAGUGUCUAUCUUCCUCCCCGAAAGCUCUAAUUGUCAUAGCUCCAGCAAUGGACUCAGAAAGAUGGCUUGCAACAAAGGACUUAGUCGUGCCAUUGAUUCGCAUCAACUCUUUUCCAGCAGCAAAGUAGUACCUCUGGUUGUUAAAAUGAAAACAGACAUGAUCAAUUGCUGAGAGGCCAAGAGAAGUACAAAAUAUCUUACAAGGAAGACACGCCUAAAUGAGGAGGGAAGCAGCUGCCUCUACUACAUCUAAGAAAACAUCAGACAGCAGUGUAUUACCUGGAUGAGUAUACUUAGAUAAAUUGUUGGUAAAAUGACAAACACAAGUUCCCAGGCAAGAAUAGUCAAUACUCCAAAAUUGGCAUAAGCAUUCAUAGUUGUCCCGACAGCAACAGUAAAUUUGAAGGCCACAUCAAGGUCAACCACACUCAAAUCAGAAGAUACCUACAAAAAGCAAUAAAAAAAAUAAGUGUUUUGUUCUUUGUAGUAAGCAUUUAUUUUAAGCAUCUUACCCGACUGAGUAUCCUUCCCAGAGGUGUUGAGUCAUAAAAGGACAUUGGUGCUCGAAAAAGAGAGCUCAGCAGUGUAGAAAAUAUAGAUUGUGAUGCCCCAAGGCCUAAAAGAACAACAAAAAAAGAACGGAGCAAUAAAAAGAGUGAUAAGCUUAAUCCGAUCCCUGUGUAUACUGUAAUCAGUUUCAAUUGGCUAACACUAGAAUUGUGGAUAUUUGCAGCCAACCAAUAGUUUUGCACCAACUGCUCAACAAUGAAUGUGAUAUGAGAUAGAGUUGCCAAAAAGAAGUACAAGAAUCCCUUGCUGUAUUUCAAGUAUUGUAGGUAAGGCUUGAGACCGGUGUCUCCUGUUUCUCUUUCUUCUUUCUUAAUUAAUUGCUCUCCUGAUGUUUCUCUUAAUUGUUUUUCGGUGUAAAUCUUCUGUAUCUCUCCCUUCUGAAUUUUAGAUUUCUGGGUAGAAUCAUGCUCAGGUUGCCUCUCAGAACGAACUGUGGCAUUGUGUGCAUUGACAAGGUCCUGGAACUCUUGACUAGAGUGCAUCAGUUGCUCAAAGGUAGCAGCUUGCAGGAUCUCCCCUUCGGACAUUAACUGCCAACAGAAUUAGUCAUUUGGACUGCUUGAUUUAAAAGCAUGUGUUACUCAAGGAUUGCCUUCCAGAUGAUGGAAAUUAUUUGUUAAGAAAGGAAAAUGAAGUCAAAUGAGAGUUAAAGAACGAUAUCCAAGAAAGUAACUGUACUAACCAGAACCGAAUCAAAUGCAGGAAGGAAGUCCACCUGGUGGGUCACAAGUAUGACCGUCUUCGUUGAUAGAGCUCCCAUGACAUAUUCCUGGCCACAACUGGCAUUAGCAUUCACUCUGAAAGCAAUAACAUUAGUAGCAUAAUUUCUGAGAAAGGAGAACCAUACAUACAUUAAAUAGACUGGUUGCAGUAUGUGCAUCGACCGCACUAAAUGGAUCAUCCAGGAGAUAUACAUCUGCAUCCUGAUAUAAUGCGCGUGCGAGUUGAACCCGUUGCUUUUGUCCACCACUCAGAUUAACACCUCUUUCUCCUAUUUCAGUGAGAUCACCAAAUGGAAGCAUCUCAAGGUCCUUCACUAGGGCACACUUCUCAAUAGCCUCUCUGUAUCUGUAAGGAUCCAUAGCUGACCCAAACAGAAUAUUUUCUUGUAUGGUCCCUGUUGGAAUCCAAGCUGUCUGAGAGACGUAAGCAAUCUUUCCAUAAACUCGAACCUGGAAAAGAUGGAUCCAGAAUUUGUAUUAAGACUUUAGUUGAGGUAAGUCUCCUAGAACCUUUUAGGGCUCAUGAAGUUGUCUACCUUCCCCAUUUUCCUCCAUGAUGUUAAUAUCUACCAAAUGAAGUGUGUAUAAAUCAGGAAUGAUGCAUUACUUCUUUCAGAUUUUAAGUUUGUUUUCUUUCGUAUUCCUACUUAGGAAACCAUGAAAGAAUGUAAAAAUUCAUGCCAGUUUGUUGUUAUUCAUUCCAGAACAACUGUGCACAAAGUAGCUGUUUAGUAUUUAUUCUAGUCCAUGGAUGAGGAAGAAAUGGAAUUGAAAGGGGUACUUACUAUGCCAUUAAUGUGUGGAACUUCUCCAAGAAUAGCAGCUAAUAGUGUUGAUUUACCUGAGCCAACCUCUCCACAAAUAGCUACCCUUUCCCCAGGCUUAACCACCAAAUUUAUGUUCCUUAGUGUAGCCCUUGUAGAGUUAUCCUCCCAUGAAAUUCUGUUGCUCUUGAUAAAAAUGGAUUCCUCCAGCUCCUUUCCAUCACACAUCUUCCUUACAUGUUUGUUCUGCAGCUCUGGUGCGUCAAGAAACUUUGCAAUCCGAUCUAACGAAACCUUGGCCUCAAUGAAUGCUGUAAUGACAUCAGGGAUUAACCUAAUUGGCUCCUGGGCAAUGCGUAAACUUGCCAUAAAUGUGAAAACAUUGCUAGCAGAGAGAGUAGUUCCAAUAAAGUAGCAUGCCGUGAAAGUAAUGGCUGAUACUACAAUGGGAGAUGACCAAAACAGAAUCAGACUGUACCCUUUCUGUGACAGAACUGACACUAACCACUUGAACUCCUCUUUCCUUAACCUUUCUAUGACAUUCUUGAAAUGAGUCUCCCAAGCGUACAGCUUCAGGCUUUUCAUGUUUGUAAGUGCCUCUGUGAAAGCCUUCAGCCUCUUGUCCUGAGUUCCCAUGAGCAUUUUCUGGUACUUGUGUUGUAACCUUCCCAUGGGAGAGUUUGCAACUACAGUCAAUAUUACUACAAACAGAGCUGCUAUAGUUGCAAGCCCCAACGAAUAGUAAAUAAUAAUCAAUGCCAGACACAACUGGAGGCUUGUUGACCAGAUCUGGUGAAACCAGUACGGGAAUUCACCUAUAUUGUAAGCAUCAAUAAUAACAAAGCUCACGAUCUGAGCAGGGGAAUACAACCCCUUUGCAGUGUUUGAGAGCUUAAGCUGCUUCUGAUAGAUGGCUGCAGAUAGAAACGAUCUCACUUGGAGCCCAAUCAAUCUAGUUCGAAAGAACCACUGCCUCUCUGAUAACGAUUCUAAGCAUUUAGUAAGGAAGAGCCCUCCCGUCAGUGCAUAACCUUCAUACUUAAAAGCUUCUUUGCCUUCAGCAACCAGGAUGAAGGCUCUAAGAAACAGAGGGCCAGUAGAAAGUGUUAGCACCUUCAUCAAUGCAAAGAAGCCAGAAAUCAAAAUCUGUUUCCACUGCCACAAUAAUAUAGUCGACAAAAUGGAAGGAGAGUCAGAUGACUGCUGUUUCUGCUUGUUCUGCUGUUCCAUGAACAUUAAGUAACACAUUUCCGCUCGAUCUUCCCUUCUUAGCUGUGGAAUGUCUUUGUCCUCGAGAGUUUUCUGCUUACCUUUCUUCAUCAACGAAUUCAACCACCAAAAUGACAUUCUACUAAUAAGCCCAGCUUUCUCAAAAGGGGGUAAGCUGGCAUCUGUAUUGAUUUUAUCACCAGCACUGCUUCCUUCACCUGGCAAAGGUCUAUAGAAGGCAGCACCAUCAAAUCCUGAAUCAGUUCCUGCAUAUUUUGGUCCCGUAAAAGUGCAGAACAUCAAUAGAAUCGCUCCAGGAAAAGAUAUAACAUCUAAAAUCACCUUAACUGAUACUGCAUCGCCCACAAUAGCUUCCCAGAAAGAUGUAACACAGGGAAAACCUGCGAUAAAGAAUGCAAGUACUGAACAGAGCCUCAGCCCUGCAUUAUGUAGAAGUUGAUGCCUCUUAAACCUCACAGCUAAACCCAGAAAAAACCAGGUGAAGCCUUGUAAUAAGACCACUAGCCAGCCAUGCAGAGGUAGAAUGGUGUUCUCUUCACUCAGCUUCUCUCCCACAAUCCAGAACCCCAAACCGAGAUAAACCAACCCUAAACUACCAUUAAGAAAGGCAGCAGAAUUUAGCAUUGUGGAAAAGCAUCUAGACUGUUGAGGGGAUAAGAUCUUCAUAGCUGAUGCUUUAUAUAUGAAGAUAAAUAAUAAGUAGAGCAAGACGAUGAUGUCAACAGAAAUGACCAAAAUAUGAUUGAGACAUGAACAUGGACAGACGAUGGCUAGGAACCCAGAACUGCAUAUCUUUCCAAUUUUACUCCAACACCAGGAACUUCCACAGAAAACAGUCCAGAGACUCUCACCCAUGUUGUAUCUUCUUGCCUUCACAAAACUGUAGCUGUAAUAAAGUAAAGAAAACAAAGGGGUUAUUUAUUAGAUUUUUGGUGUUUUAGACUUGGGAAGUAGUACUAAACAUGAGAACCAUCAAUGCAUGCCUAAUAGUUUCAAUUUUCAGUUGAAAUUAAAAGUAAAAUUUAUCAUACAGGACUGAUCUAAACUUAAUUUCACAACCCCAGGUGCCUAAGAUCAGGAGAAAGAAUCCAAGAACAACUGAACUGAGAUUGAAGAGAACUGACUAAAGACAUAGAACACAAGAAAUUGCAGAAAAAAAGUAGGGAGAAUGGGAUCCAAUGGAGAUGAAUCAAACAUGAAAUCAGAAGAAGAUGUGAACAAGUUCAGGAAACUUAUGCAAAACUCCCCAUUUUUCCGUUUGAUUGUUGAGAAAAAUGCUGGAAAGUAAAUGAAAACCUUAAAUCUCAUAACAAGUAGGGGAUGGAGUGGUAGUUUUAAGAUUGCAAAACUUCUUUUCUUUUACCAUGAGUCUCAGUAACCAAACACACAAACAACCCCACUAGAUCUGUUCUCUCAAGCUGAAAGGAUGAACCCAAAAAAUACGAGAACAACAAGAUCAAACACUUACCUUAGGAUACGUUGGACAAUGAUGUCAAACCAAACCAGAUUUUUUUAUUUAAGCUAAAAUUUCAGUCCAAAUUCCAAAUACUGAACAAAGACUUGAGCAUUUAAGGUAGAAAAACAGAACCCAGAAGAGGAAAAUAAUAGAAAAUUAAUAUUCACAAUGCACCGAGUCAGCCCACAAGAAAAUGAAGCGUCAUAUGAAGGACCCAGGAAUUCAAAGCAAUUAAUGAAGAAACAGACAGAAAGAUGGAGCUACUUCAGAGAGUGAAAAGUGAAAACCAUCUUGAACCAAUUAUAGAAAGCACAGAACAUGGUGGUGGACAAAAUAUUAUGCUGAAGAAGUGCUACAAAAUCCAUAUAGGUAAAAAACCUGCAUAGGCCAUCCAGAAUCUCACCAUCCCUCAUCAAAUCUGUCUGUUUUUUCUCCUUUUUUUUCCCUUCUUUUUUAGUGAGCAUAGGUCAUUCAGAAUAUCACUCUGCCUCAUCAAAUCAUGGGUGUUCAUCUCGCCCUCUUCUACACCUCACUGCUCUCUUUCCUUGCAUUAUAUUAAUGUGUUGUUCCACUCAAACGACAAAUCGAGUUGUUCUCAUGCUUCACGAUGUCGUUGUUGAGGGAGAAUAUUAUCAAGUCUCUGUGUAUAUAUUGUUUCUGUCCACUUCUAUGGAAUUGAUUCUCUAGCUAUAUGGUUAGGUUCGACUGAUGGAAUCAUUUCAUUAAUCUCAAAGUCACCCUCAUUCUCUGCUCCAAUGAUUUUAUUUUUAUAUUUUAUAUUAAAAAAUGACAUUCAGACUGACGUGAUCAACAACACCAUCAGAAUUCUCUUAACCCAACCCUGGGCCUACUACCUUAUAAUUUAAGUUUUUAAAACGAUUUUCGAAAAAAUCAUUUUCAAAAAUAAUUUUAUGAUAGUUUUUAAAAUAAAAUUAAGAAUUUGAAUUAUUUUUUAAUCUAUCUUAUAUAUUUUCAAAUAUUUUUUAAAAAUAAUUUUUAUUUAUAAUAUUUUAUUUUUAUUAAUUCUCUGUAUUUAUAUAAAUAUUUCUUAAAACAAUUCAAAAAAAUAAGUAAAAAUAGUUAAAAUAUGUUAUCACAAAAUAUCAAAACAAGUUCUUAAAAAUAUAUUUUUUGUCAAAAAAAUCACUAAUGUUUUUGUGGACCCCGCAUUUUCGGCUCAUGCGUUUCCCACUCGAUGGCGAGCUCGAUUUUUAUUUGAAAAAUGAUUUUUAUUGAUUAAGAAAAUGACUUGGAGUCGCCACUUAUUUUUGUUUUAUUUUUAAAAGGGUAAACAAAAUAAGAAAGAAAAACCCUAAGUGUGACUCUUUAUUUUGGAAAAGACGGUCUACGAAAAAUCGGGUCGAGUUCAGGGGUCAGGUUACUUAUCGGGAAGGUACGGUAAGGACCGUAGCACCCUUCUAAGUCCCUAAAGUCGGGUCUCUACUAAUAAAAUGAAGCAAUCAUGACAAUUGAUGAGGGAAUCAAUGAAUACUUAGAGUGAUCAUGCAUAUGUGAGAAUCUAAACAUGCGUAUAGAAAAUGACCCAAGCGGGUGUGGAUGCGUACCUGGGCAGUGAUCCAUAAAGCGCUAUCAAGAAGUGAAGUUAGCGCACAAUUAAAGAAUAAUUUCGAGCAUGUCAUAGAGCAUAAUAAAAUCGAUCAUGCAUGGCAAUUAAAUCAAACAAACAAUCAAUCAAUCAUGAGGAAAUCACAUGUGUUGGGCCCCCACCAAAACCCGAUUUAUAUUACAUGAAUUAAUCCCAUAAAUUCCAUUAUUCGGAAUUACGAAAAAUUCGUUUCUGCUUAUUAAAGUCAAGAGGAGCAGAAGAUUGUUUGAAAGCCAGAGCGGAAUUAAAACUAUUUGGGAGAAAAUUAGAUUUUUGAAAUUUAUUAGAAAAUUGGAAUCUUGAAGAUCACUAGAAAAUUGGAAUUUAGAAAUUAACUUUAGGAAUUGGAAUUUAGGAAUUAAAUUUUAAAGAAAUUGGAAUGUUGAAAAUUAUUUGAGAGUUUGGAACUAUUAAAUUAUAAAAAUUGGAAACUUGGAAUUCAUUUGAAGGUGAAAUUUUUGAAAAUAAAUAAAUAAAAUGAUGACAAUAAAUAAAUAAAUAAAUAAACAAAUGUGAAAAUUGAAAAUUUAGAAAUUAGAAAUUAAAUUUGAAAAUUGGAAAUCGAAAUUUUGAAGAAUUAUUUAAAAAUGGAAUUUUAAAAAUAAAAUAAUAAUAAUAAUAACAAUAACGAAGAUAGUAAUUAUUAAAUAAAUAAAUAUAAAAAUUGAAAUUUUAGAAAUUGGAAAUUAAAUUUAAAAAAUUAAAAAAAUGAAAUUUCGGAUAUUAGAGUUUUGAAUAUUAAAUUGAGAAAAUGAAGUUUGAAAAAUUAAUUUUAAAAGAAUUCAGAAUUUUAAAAAUUAAAUUUAAAAAUUAAAUUAAGACAUCAACAUAUGAAAGAAUUAAAAAAAAAAAGAAAAAAUUUGAGAUUGGUAGUGGGUUGGUCUUGUCGGUGGUGAUGAUGGAAAUUACAACAUGGAAUGAUGGUUGGCUUUUAUGGAUAAAAAAAAAAAAAAAAAAAACAUUUGACUAAUGAUGAGAACUGGAAAUUGAGACUUUUAAUGGCACUCUCAUAAUAUGCUACUCCCAAAAUCAAAGGCAAACUAAAGUUAGCAUUGAUGGCGUUUUAUGAGAGAGAUAAGUUUCAUGUUCCUGCUGCGCAGACUUGCUGGCAUCCUCUCGUCUCUGCACAGCUCCGCCAAGUACUCCAGCCGAGAUCUUCUUGUCCCUUCACAAAAAUACAUCAGCGUGUUUUCCUUCGCCGAGAACUGUAUGGACCAGCUUCUCCCGUCCAAAGAGGCGGAAAUCCUUGGCUUUGACGGACGACGGCGACGCUGUUUUAUCAGGAUUGGAAACGGAGUCGGACGAUGACGAAUCAUGGCCUUGCAACUCGUUGGUGAUCUUUUCCAGCGAGGAUUCAGAUGCGGCUCUCGAACCUUUGGCGUGUUCAGCCAUUUUUAUCGGACUGGGAUCCGAAACACAGUCCUAUCGUGUCGGCGAAAUGAGAGGGGAAGAUGAUACUUCAGGGACAGAAACAAGAUUCCGAUGAAUGAAAAUGGAGCUGAGAGAGUGGCGACGAUGGAAAGAGAAAUGGGUUCAUAUUAGUGGAAAAAAACAUAUACAGAGUCAAAACCAAACUGCAACCCAUGUCUCUGGUGUCUCAUGAUGGAUAAGACGAAGGCCUUCAUCAGUUUCUCAAGCUGGAUCCAUGGAACAGAGAAAGAACCAACAGCACAAGGGUAUAAACGAACACAUAAAGCAACAAAGACAUCCAGUAGAAUGAUACCCAGAAUAAAAAAAUAUGGUUCACAAUGAACGUACCUGGAGUGCUUCCUGGAGUCGGAUUUGCUCCCCUUCCCCUCAGCUUUCCUGCCCCAGCCCCAAAGAAAUACAUAUAUUUUUUCUCUGCUGGCAGCUUCUUCUCCAAGCUGUCUCUCGCUGCCACCAGCAGCUCGCCUCAUCCCAUCCCAUGGCCGCCCAAAGCAGCUCGUUUCCCGGUGGUCAGAGAAGUAAUCAUAUAAAAAUGGCCAAAAACUCCUCCUCCCCGGUAGGGGGUCUACAGUUUAAUUUUUAAGAAUAGAAAACUAUUUAAAAAAUGAUUUCUAAACAAGCUUUAGCUUUGAAGUUGGUAUCAUUCUAGAAACAUAAGGUUAUGUUUAAUUUUUGAAAAGCAAUAGAGAAAUAAAAAAAAUAUUAAAGAAAAUGAUUUUUUUAAUAUUUGAUUUCAUUACAAAAAAAAUGAAAGAAAAUCAAGUAUAAUUAAAAUUAAUUAAAAAAUUAUUUGUUUUUAAAUUAUUUUAAUCUAUAUAAUGAAGGGAAAUAAAUGAAAUAAAUUUGAAGAAGUAUAUAAAAAUAAUUUAAUAAAUUUAUUUAAAUCUGUUUUUUUUUUCUUCCUUUUUUUUCUUUCCUCUUACUUUUUUAGUUGCAUUUUUUUCUCAAAUUUUUCGGUAAUCAAAUAUAGUUUAAAGGUUAGUAUACAUUAUUAAACAAUUAAUGAAUAACUUAAACUUUUGGUUUAAAUAGAGUGGGUUUAGUUUAAGAAUAUUAACUAUUUGUAAACUUGUUAGUUUUAUUUUUUAUUUUUUAUUUUUUAAAAUUCUUUGCAGUUUCAAAUAUUUCCUAUUGAAGUAAUUUAAUGGGAGUUAAAUAUAUUAUAAAGGAAAACAUUUUCGAAGUUGAAGUCUCUACAUGCAGUGAUAUAAACUAACACUUCAAACACAUUCAUACAUGCUCUACCCUUAAUUAGUCGAAAAUUUAAAGAGACUGAUUAUGUUAUUGAAAUUUUCAAUUUUAAACUUUGAUAUAUAUAAUUAAAUUAACUAUUAUCUUAUUUUUAAUUUUUUUAAUGCUUAAAAAAAAUAUUGAGGAAAAAAAAGAAAAAAAAAUAGAUUUUACAUUAAUAAAUUAUUUUUAUUUGUUUUUUCAAAUUUAUUUAAUUUAUUUAUAUAUAUAAAGAUUAUAUAAUUUUAAAAACUAUAAUGGUAUAUUCAUUUUUAAUUAUAUUUUAUUUAAAAAAAAUCUAUGAUAAAUUAAAUAUAAGUGACUUAUUUUCUUUAAUAUUUUUUCUAUAUUUUUAUGCAACUUAAAUCAUGAUGAAAAAGAAAAAGAAAAAGAAAAAAGAAAUAUUGGUCAUAUUUUAUGCAUGAUAAAGAAAAAUUUCUUUGGGUGUGAUUUAAACUUUAAAAAAAAAACCAAUUUAUUUUCAUGUUGGGUUAUUUGGUUAGAAGGAUGAAAUAAUUCUCAAUUAAAAAUUUUUUUUUUAAUAAAAAUAAUUUUAUCUUUUAAAACUUAUUGGCAGAUUAUCUAAAUAUUGAUCUCAAAAAUGUAUUAUUUUUAAAAUUUUAAAAUUUAAAAUUAUUUCAUCCUUUUAAUCAAUUUAUUUUAAAAAAUUCUCUUUAAUUUGGUUCAAUCUUUUCAAUGGACCUCAACUUUCCAUAUUGGUAGAUACCUUGAGAAAGAUGUCUGCCAAUCAAGGUCAUGAAGCAAGGCAUCCAAAACUCCUUAGCAGAUAGAAUUAUUAUUUUGAAGUUUAAGAAUGAGAAAAUGACAUCAUUUGUAAUUAAUUUUUGGUUUUGUAAGAUUAAGAAUGAGAUUAGAAAAUAUACUUUUGGAUGGAAUAUUAUAAUCGUAUUAAUAUAUUUAGAUUAAAAUAAUUUAUUUAGAUUGAAUAUUUUAUACCUAAUCUCUAAAUGUAGCGAUGGAAUAUACUCAUAUUUGAUUCUAAUAAAGUGAUAGGAAGAAAGAAAACUCGGAAAAAAAUGAUCUUUUAAAAAAAUACAAAAUUAAAUUAAAUUAAUUAAAAUUUAAUAUACUUUUAAAUUAUUUAAUAUUCACAAGACUUUAUUUAAUUUAUGCUCCAAUAAUACACAAAAAUGCAAAUUAAUUAAAAAUCAAAUAACUUAUUUUUUAAAGAAAACGUAAAUUACAAAUUUCAUGAUGUUUCAUUUUACACAAAAAUGAAAGAUUAAAAAUGGUUUCUAAUUUGUCCUUACAAAAAAUGUGACAUUAGGUGGAUUCCUUGAGACAUGGUGGACUGAUUGGUACCUAAGUUAUGAUGAUGUCUUCUCAUACAUUUCUUUUAAACUCAUCAAAUCAUUAAAGGGAAUGUAUCUAAUAAAUUUAAAAAGAAAUUCCUCACUUUUUUUCUUAUUAACAUUUGUUUUAUCUUUCAUUCCUUAUGAAUUCUAAAUUAAUGUUUUCUUUGUUAUAAUUAUUAUGAAUGGACAUCCACAUUAAUUAGUCUUUGACAAUUUAUUUGUGAAAAUGUAUUUAUAGCAAAAAAAACAAAUCAUGCCUAAAAUCAGGUCAAAUUGUUUUAAUUAUUCAAAUUGACUUUUUAAUUAGUAAUAAGAUUAAGUAUACAAGUCUUAUUUGGCUGUUCUAGGAGUAACUAUUGAUGAAUAUUAUGGCAAAUUUUUUUACUAAAGAGAUUUAUUACCAUGAUAUUAAAGAAGGUGAAUAAAUUUUUUUCUUAAAGUCUCAAAGAAUGAAGCAACAAUAGAUCAUGAUCCCAAAAUCUCUAUCAAUUUCUUCCAUCUUUAUAUUUCCAAUUAAAAGCGUAGUAACUUGGUUAUAAUUAGAAUAUCUUUCUAGUUUGUGUUUAACUAACUAAAAAGGAAAAAAUAUUUUUUUGUUAUGCGGUUCAUUUUAUACUAGGAAUUACCUUUAAAGUGUUUUUAUAAAAAUUUAUGAUAAUUUUAGUAUUUUAAAAAAUUUUCAUUGAACAUAAGUCUAGUUUUUCGAUUGUGUUAUAGGAGUUUUAUCUAAUAAGAUCAUGUCUGAUAUGUUUUUUACCGUAAAGAAGUGGAAGUAGAAAUGAUUACUUUUGUUAUAUAAUUGAUUUUAUAUUUAAAACUAUAUUUUAAAAAUAUGUUUAGCAAAUAUAAAAAUAAUUUAUAUUUUUUAAAAAUUAAUUAAAUAAAGCUUUGAUUCUAACAUCAAAGCAUUUACAUUUUCAAAAAAUUGAUGAAAAAUUGAUGAUCAAGAAAUCUAAGAAGAAUUAUCUUUGGUAUUUAAAGGAUGAUUUUAAAGUUCAAAUGACUCCCAAGUGAAACUUGAAUGCAAUCAAAGCCUAUAACACCAUUGGAAAUAUUAUUAUUUCAUUAUUUUAUUUAUAAAAAUUUGCACUCUACUACAAAAUAAUAGAACUAUAUAGUAGUUUUAUUAUAUAUAUGUGACUUGAGUCAUAACUUGGGUUUUGGUAUGACUUAGGUGGAAAUUGUUUUUUUUGGUUUUUUAGUUAAAGUAAUUUGUUUUCAGAAUUUAUGCUGUUUAUUUUUCUAUUUUUUCAUAAUUUAUUAUAAAUUUUUUACUAAAUAAAAAAAGUCAAAAUAUAUUACUUUUUUUAAAUAGAAAAAAUAACAUAUUUGAAAAUGUGAAUCUCAAUAAUGAACUACACCUAGAGGGGGGUGAAUAGGUGUUGUAGAACAAUUUAAAAAUUCUCUCAACAAAGAUUACCUAACCUUAGACUAUCUUAAUGUCAAGAAUUUUUUUCUUCCAAUAACUUUUCAACAAAGCAAAACAUCCACAAGCAAUAAUGUAUACAUCAACACUCUCCCAACAAUUUAUCAAUGUAAAACACAUGCAAAUGCUUCAACACUCCUAAAAAAUAAAUCAAAAUAUAGAGUGAGAGAAAGAGACAAUGAACACCGGAUUUUUAACGUGGAAAACUUCCGAAGAGAUCAAAAACCACGGGCCUAUCACCGAUUGAAAACUCCACUAUGAAGAAUAAAAACUGAGUACAAGGUUUUACCUAACUCAAGCCAAUCAAUCCUUCCCGGAAUACUUGACUAGUACCUUCAUUUUCAGCUUCUCCUGUUGGAGCACACUUGGAGUCCGCACCAAGCUCAAUCUCGGCCUCUUCUUGAAUCCACACAAGAAGAAAAUGGGUUUUUACAUAAACCCAAAUAGAAUGAGAGAUUGAGAUGUGAAUGAAGGAAUGAAUCAACCCAUUUAUUGCUCAAGAAAAUCCAUUGAAAACUAGUUUGGAAAAUAUUAAGAGAAGUGGAUUUUCUUUGCAAUCAAAAACCCUAAAUUAGGAAAGCAAAAAUGAGAAAAUGAAGAACACUUGGAGUGUGGCUGCUCUCCCCACGUUUUCUGCAGUCUCUCUUACCAGAAAAUGAGAGAAGAUUGGUUUUUAAAGUGUAAAAAGAAACCCUUAAUCUAAUGGCUGAGAUUUGAUCAAAAAAACAUUAGUUGGAUAGAUCCACCCCUACACUUGGAUCGAUCCAGAAACAGAAGAAUGAAAGCUUUGCACCAAAAACCAUUUUUCUCAACUUUCUAACACAUUUAAAGAUUAAAAACCGGGUUGAUUCACACUCAAUCACUCCACACUUGACUACAUAUCUCGGCCUCUUAGCAAAGUCUUAGUUUUCAAAGUCAAGUAGUACAAAUAGGAAUAGGAAAGCCGAGUUAGGGGACACUUAGGAAUUUUGUCCGGAAUUGCCAACCUAGCUAAACACUCACAAUAUUGAUUUUUUUUUUUAAUACUUAAUAGAAAUAAAAUAUUAUAAAAACAAACAACCUAAUAUUUAAUACUAUUAAACAUUAAGUACCUAUUUAGAAUUAAGUAAAAAAACAAACACCACCUUAACCAUAGUAUCAUUUGGGCUUCCAUGACUACCCUGUAGCAACUGGACAAUAGAUGCUAUGGUCCAUGACUACUCUUUAACAAGAGACUUCCGAUAAAACAGGACCUAAAAAACCAUAACAAUCCAGCUCAUCAUGCAGCAACCUGACCAAAGAGCCGCUUGCGAAGCUGCAGUGGGAAGAAAACAAGAAAAUGGUUAAAGAAGAAUGGCCACACAUGGAUAAACUAAGGCUAUCAUUCACCAUCAAAUUUGAGAGACACAUGCCCAUAUAAGAUGAAUGCAGCAGAUAAUCUAAAGAUGAAAUAUCCAAUUGACUGAUAAUUGGGUAUAUAAACCAAUUAACUGGGAAAAAAAAAUGAACUUAAGAAGGAUGAAUACCCCUGGAAGUUUUUUUAUGAAAUACAACAUCCAAUCUUGCAUCAAGGGUGUUCUCCCAUAAAAUUUUUCUACCAGAGGGAUUUUCCAUCACUUUUCUUUCAACAAAAGCUGUUUCAUCCAUGUUUAUAUAUUUCCCACAACCAGUCCGAUAUAAAGAGUAAAAGAUGCAUGAGUUAUAUAUUAUUUUUUUGAAAAUGAAAGAUCAGCCAGCAGUCUCACAGAAAGAGUACAUUUGUACCUUUACAAACCUUUCCACUACAUAACAACUGUUAGUAAGCAAAACAGACCAUAUGCCCACAAAAAAUGGGAGGAUCAAAGUUUACGCUUCUGCCAGUGAUCCAUUUCCAAUACCUCAAGUUAGUGUUUAAGUCCAUGAUCUAGGUUUCUUUCUUUUUUCUUUUUUUAUUUAUUUUCCUUUUUUUUUAAGGUAAUAAAAAGAGAACACCCUGGUCUGCUCAACCUGUUUGGGCAAAGUAAAAUUUGGGCAAAUUAGCUGAGUUUAUAUUGACCUGAACCACAAGAUCUUUGAGAAGCCUUUUAUAGACAUGGUGAUCAUGUCCAGAGACGAUGUUUUAAAAUGCAAUUCAUUAUUGCAUAUUGAUACUAUCCAGUAGGUAGAAGUAGAACCGUAGAACAACUCAUAACUGCAAAAGCAUACCAUUAGCCUUCAAAGCCUGUUUAAGUUUCAGAGCCAAUCUCCUGAGGCGUUACUGCCAUUUGAAGAUCGAGACCAGUACUCCGUGACAAGCUGCCCAAACAGCGAUCCCUCCUUCUUUAUCAGUUUCAUUGGCACAUCGUACUCUACUAAUUUUCCUACGGAAGCAAAAGCACUAGUUAUUUGAAUUUGUUUUACCAUAUUGAUCCCAACUAGAAUGAAAUGUUCCUUCGUAGAAACUCACCGUCACUGAUAGCAAGCACCAUUGUGCAGUCCAUCACGGUUGGGAUUCUGUGGGCUACUGUAAUUACAGUGCAGUCUGCAAAUUCUGUUCUUAUGGUCUUCUGGAGAAUGGAGUCUGUUGCAUUGUCUAUAGAUGCAGUGGCUUCAUCAAGCACUAGUAUCCGACUUCUCUUCAGUAGGGCACGUCCCAAGCAGAAUAAUUGUCGCUGGCCCAUGCUCCAAUUUGAUCCGUCAUGUACAACUGUAGGGCAGACAGAUUGUUAGCAAGAGUUUUUGAAUCCAAAGAAUGGUACCAGUGUGUUUUAUGUUUCAUACCUAAGGAGUCCAGGCCCUCUUCUUUCUCUUGAACAGCCCCUCGAAGUUGACAUUUUCCCAGAACCUUUCACACAUUCAUGAGAAACAAUCUUAGUGUAGGAUAUAAAGUAAAUUUACCUUAUUAGGAAUCUGUACUUUUUGAAGGGACUACCACGACAAAUAUUUGGUAUGGAAAGAAAAUUAGGAGGUAUUUAAUAGCACUCUAAAACAUCAUUGUGUUCCAAAACACAGAAUAUCAGGAGCUCGAUCAAUGACAAUGGAAUUCAAAAUCUGACAGCGUUUAAUUAGUUUGUUAGUGUAGAAACUGCAAUGUCUAUGCACUUAAGAGUGAAGCCUGCUUCAUAUCACUGGCAGAAUCUUUUGGAGAUCUGUAACAUAUCAUGAUUGAAUCCUAAAAUUAGCAACCACAACAAAUUAAUAGGAAACUAACCUCCCAUAUUUCCUCAUCAGUAUGCAGCGAUAAAGGGUCAAGAUUGUAUCUUAUAGACCCGCUAAACAGAGUUGGUUCUUGUGGAAUGAUCCCAAGACGUGAUCUGAGAUCAUGAAGCCCAAUUGUGGAAAUAUUUAUGCCAUCUAUAAUUAUCUGUCCCUCUGUAGGCUCUACCAAGCGAAACAAAGCGCUGAUAAGAGUUGUCUUUCCACUACCAGUCCGGCCAACGAUCCCAAUUUUCUGUCCUCCUCCAAAUUUGCAACUGAUUCCUUGAAGAACUAGAGGAGCAUUGGGCCGAUACUUGACCUGCUCAAUGUCAUUUCAUCUACUAUAUUAAUCUCUAUAAAUCUUGAAGUUGUAGAACAGAAACAGAUACCCAAAUUCUUACUGAUUUCACCAUACCUUCAAAUCAUAAAUUUCCACUUCACCAAUAGUAGGCCAACUGGGUGGCGGUCGAUUACUCCCUAUGACUUCAGGGGCUUCGCUAGGAAUAUUCAUGUACUGUUCUAAUCUUUCAACAGAAACAAUCAUAUUUGCUAAAAGGCACUGGCUUUGGGCAGAAAAUACGAAGAAUACAUUCACUGAAAGGCCAUACGAUAAUGCCAUUCCAAUAAAUCCUGCCAUCAGAACAUUGACGACGAAAAUGCUCAUUAGACAAUAAUACCAUAAAUGGUUGUCAAUUACUAAGAUUUCUUUAAAUAUCACAUUGACCAAGCUGUUUUUGAAUAUCAAAUACUGUGCACGUAGGAAGUUAGUAGAAGGGUUUUUCUUUUGGAUUAUGCACUGAUCUGUUUGUAUGAUUAUUGUGUAAGAAUCAUGGACUUGUUAGCUCACUUUGUUCUUGAUAUAACCCAAGUUUCUAGUUAUGAUGUUGAGAAAGUUGGAGCUAAAAUGGGUUUAUUAUAGUGAUUUUUUAUUACUACCAACUGGGCAGCUGUUGUUUCAUGAUCUACAAAGCCCUAUCUUGUAUUCAUUUCACUCCACUCAUCAAGGUCAAGUAGGAAACUAAGAUAGGUAACUUUCCUAUUUAAUGUUGGAUAUUUUAUUGGAUUUUAGGUCAUUACUGAAGUGCCUCUAAAUAUUUCAUUCUCCUGAAGUUCCUUCUUUUCAGUGAGAAAUAUGAAAAUUUAGUGGAGACCCUGGGUUGUAGAUCUCUUUCUUUUACAGUUAAAAACAUAUGCUAUCUAGCAAGCAGUCAUAGCAGGCAACAGAAAAGCAGUUUUUGUCUUGAGGUUUUGAUCCUUUUGGAGAAUUUACCAUUUGUGGCCAUAAUCAGACACUUCAUAUUUAUCAUUUUCUGGUUGUAGAUCUUACCUACUGAAAAAUCCUAAUGGUAUCCUCUUGUAAGGAUCAAAAUUCACAUGAUCAAUUACUAUUCUCAAAGUUGCACAGGCCCCCUUAGGUUAAACAUGUUAUAAACUUCUAGGGAGUUAAAACUGUUGAAAUUAGACCAAAGAGAGUUUUAAGCAACUGCAAGGACAAUUGAAGGAUCUGGCAUGGACCUUCUAAUUUUGUGUCCAUUCUCAUUGGUCAUAUAGUUAGCCUCGUGAGUAAAUUCAAACUAUCUUGGAUUUUGCCUAGUUUGUUGUAUCAACUAAUGGAUAGUUGAGCAUGCAGGGUUAGGUACAGGAAGGACCUGUAAUUUCGGUAGUGUCUUUAGUUUGUAGUUUAGUACCCUUAUGGAAUCCUCUAGGAAAGAAAGAGAUAAGAGUAUUUUUGGUUUUUUUUUCUUUUGGAGACGGAAGGUUUUGUUAUUAGCAUCCACAAAUGGGGUAAAAUGGCAGAUCUCUAGCUGAUAUUGGGCAUGCUAGUUCAGGUCAUUAGGCCAGUGAUCCGGGUGGCUCCUAUGAGAUAAAUCUUCAAGUUGCUGCAAGUUAAAAAUGCAAUAGGGUGAUGGAAAGGCUGAAUGUAACAUGGGUGGAAUUCAUAAAAAAGAUAAAAAUCUCAAUAUUGAAUGGUGACUUGUCUUACUAUCAAGCCAAAUGGCUGGAAAGGAUCAUUGUAAUUAAACCAAGGUUGUGAUCAAAUGGUACUUGUAGAGGAACGAAUUUACGAUUUCAUCUUAGAGAAUUGAUAGUUAGGAGUGUUCAAGCAAACUAACAAAUUCAAAUGUAAUCGAGCUGUAUAAACUAGUGCCAAAAACACCUACCAGAUUUAGAAGAACUCGUAUGAAGCAAUGUUAGGGCAAGGGCUGAAGAUGAGAGAACGAUAGCACAUAGUAUUUCAAGGCGUUGGAUCAACCACUCAUUUGCUGUGAAACUGUAGAAGAAUGGACUUGCAUUUAUGUCAAUGAAGUCCAAAUUCUUUGAAAAGUGUCUAUCUUCCUCCCCGAAAGCUCUAAUUGUCAUAGCACCGGCAAUGGACUCAGCAAGAUGGCUUGCAACAAAGGACUUCGUCGUGCCAUUGAUUCGCAUCAAUUCUUUUCCAGCAGCAAAGUAGUACCUCUGGUUGUUAAAAUGAAAACAAACAUGAUCAAUUGCUGAGAAGCCAAGAGAAGUACAAAAUAUCUUACAGGGAACACACGCCUAAAUGAGGAGGGAAGCAGCUGCCUCUACUACAUCUAUGAAAACAUGAGACAGCAGUGUAUUACCUGGAUGAGUAUACUAAGAUAAAUUGUUGGUAAAAUGACAAACACAAGUUCCCAGGCAAGAAUAGCCAAUACUCCAAAACUGGCAUAAGUAGUCACAGCUGCCCCAAUAGCAAAAGUAAAUUUGAAGGCCAUAUCAAGGUCAACCACACUUAAAUCAGAAGAUACCUACAAAACGACAAUAAAAAAAUAAGUCUUCUGUUGUUUGUAAUAUGCAUAUAUUUUAAGCAUCUUACCCGACUGAGUAUCCUUCCCAGAGGUGUCGAGUCAUAAAAGGACAUUGGUGCUCGAAAAAGGGAGCUCAGCAGUGUAGAAAAAAUAGAUUGCGAUGCCCCAAGGCCUACAACAACAACAAAAAAUGAUCGGAGCAACAAAAAUAUUGAUAAGCUUAAUCCAAUCCCUGUGUAUACUGCAAUCAGUUUCAAUUGGCUAACACUAGGAUUCUGGACAUUUGCAGCCAACCAAUAGUUUUGCACCAACUGCGCAACAAUGAAUAUGAUAUGAGAUAGAUUUGCCAAAAAGAAGUAGAACAAUCCCUUGCUAUAUUUCAAGUAUUGUAGGUAAGGCUUCAGACCAGUGUCUCCCGUUUCUCUUUCUUCUUUCUUAAUUAACUGUUCUCCUAAUGAAUCUCUUAACUGUUUUUCGCUGUCAAUCUUUUGUAUCUCUCCCUUCGGAAUUUUAGACUUCUGGGUAGAAUCAUGCUCAGGUUGCCUCUCAGAACCAACUGUGGCAUUGUGUGCAAUGAUAAGGUCCUGGAACUCUUGACUAGAGUGCAUCAGCUGGUCAAAGGUAGCAGCUUGCAGGAUCUCCCCUUCGGACAUUAACUGCCAAUAAAAUUAGUCAUUUGAACUGUUUGAUUUAAAAGCAUCUGUUACUCAAAGAUUGCCUUCCAGAUUUAGAGAUUAUUUGUUAAGAAAGGAAAAUGAAGUCAAAUCAGAGUUAAAGAAGGAUAUCCAAGAAAGUAACUGUACUGACCAAAACCGAAUCGAAUGCAGGGAGGAAGUCCACUUGGUGGGUCACAAGUAUGACUGUCUUCAUUGAUAGAGCUCCCAUGACAUAUUCCUGGCCACAACAGGCAUUAGCGUUCACUCUGAAAGCAUAGCAUAAUUUCUGACAAAGGAGAACUGUACUUACAUUAAAUAGAUUGGUUGCAGUAUGUGCAUCAACCGCACUAAAUGGAUCAUCCAGGAGAUAUACAUCUGCAUCCCGAUAUAAAGCACGUGCAAGUUGAACCCGCUGUUUCUGUCCACCACUCAGAUUAACACCUCUUUCUCCUAUUUCAGUGAGAUCACCGAAUGGAAGCAUCUCAAGGUCCUUCACUAGGGCACACUUCUCAAUAGCCUCUCUGUAUCUGUAAGGAUCCAUAGCAGACCCAAACAGAAUAUUUUCUUGUAUUGUCCCUGUUGGAAUCCAUGCUGUCUGAGAGACGUAAGCAAUCUUCCCAUAAACUCGAACCUGGAAAAGAUGGAUCCAGAAUCUGUAUUAAGACAUUUGUCUAAGUAAGUCUCCUAGAACCUUUUAGGACUCAUGAAGUUUUCUACCUUCCCUGUUUUCUUCCAUGAUGUUAAUAUCUACCAAAUGAAGUGUGUAUAAAUCAGGAAUGAUGCAUUACUUCUUCAGUUUUUAAGUUUGUUUUCUUUUGUAUUCCUACUUAGGAAACCAUGAAAGAAUAUAAAAAUUCUCUGCCGCUUUGUUGUAAUUCAUCUCAGAACAACUGUGCACAAAGUAGCUGUUGAGUAUUUAUUCUAGUCCCAUGGAUGAGGAAGAAAAUGGAAUUGAAAGGGGUACUUACUAUGCCAUUAACGUGUGGAACUUCUCCAAGAAUAGCAGCUAAUAGUGUCGAUUUACCUGAGCCAACCUCUCCACAAAUAGCUACCUUUUCCCCAGGCUUAACCACCAAAUUUAUGUUUCGUAGAGUAGCCCUUGUAGAGUUAUCCUCCCAUGAAAUUCUUUUGCUCUUGAUAAAAACGGAUUCUGCGAGCUCCAUCCCAUCACACAUCUUCCUUACAUGUUUGUUCUGCAGCUCUGGUGCAUCAAGAAACUUUGCAAUCCGAUCUAACGAAACCAUGGCCUCAAUGAAUGCUGAAAUGACAUCAGGGAUUAACCUAAUUGGCUCCUGGGCAAUGCACAAACUUGCCAUAAAUGUGAAAACAUUGCUAGCAGAGAGAGUAGUUCCAAGAAAGUAGCAUGCCCAGAAAGUAACAGCUGAUACUACAAUGGGAGAUGACCAAAACAGAAUCAGAUUGUACCCUUUCUGUGACAGAACUGACAAUAACCACUUGAAUUCCUCUUUCCUUAACCGUUCUAUGACAUUCUUGAAAUGAGUCUCCCAAGCAUACAGCUUCAGACUUUUCAUGUUUGUAAGUGCCUCUGCAAAAGCCUUCAGCCUCUUGUCCUGUGUUCCCAUGAGCAUUUUCUGGUACUUAUGUUGUAACCUUCCCAUAGGAGAGUUUGCAACAACAGUCAAUAUUACUACAAACAGAGCUGCUAUAGUUGCAAGCCCCACCGAAUAGUAAAUAAUAAUCAAUGCCAGACACAACUGGACGCUUGUUGACCAGAUCUGGUGAAACCAGUACGGGUAUUCACCUAUGUUGUAAGCAUCAAUAGUAACAAAGUUUAUGAUCUGACCAGGGGAAUAUGACCCCUUUGCAGCAUUUGAGAGCUUAAGCUGCUUCUGAUAGAUGGCUGCAGAUAGAAACGAUCUCACUUGGAGCCCAAUCAAUCUAGUUCGAAAGAACCAUUGCCUCUCUGAUAACGAUUCUAAGCAUUUAAUAAGAAAGAGCCCUCCUGUCAGUGCAUAACCUUCGUACUUAAAAGCUUCUCUGCCUUCAGCAACCAGGAUGAAGGCUCUAAGAAACAGAGGGCCAGUAGAAAGUGUUAGCACCUUCAUCAAUGCAAAGAAGCCAGAAAUCAAAAUCUGUUUCCGUUGCCACAACAAUAUAGUCGACAAAAUGGAAGGGGAGUCAGAUGACUGCUUUUUCUGCUUGUUCUGCUGUUCCAUGAACAUUAAGUAACACAUUUCCGCUCGAUCUUCCCUUCUUAGCUGUGGAAUGUCUUUGUCCUCGAGAGUUUUCUGCUUACCUUUCUUCAUCAACGAAUUCAACCACCAAAAUGACAGUCUACUAAUAAGCCCAGCUUUCUCAAAAGGAGGUAAGCUGGCAUCUGUAUUGAUUUUAUCACCACCACUGCCUCCUUCGCCUGGCAAAGGUGUAUAGAAGGCAGCACCAUCAAAUCCUGAAUCAGUUCCUGCAUAUUUUGGUUCCGAGAAAGUGCAGAACAUCAAUAGAAUCGCUCCAGGAAAAGAUAUAACAUCUAAAAUCACCUUAACUGAUACUGCAUCGCCCACAAUAGCUUCCCAGAAAGAUGUAACACAGGUAAAACCUGCAAUAGAGAAUGCAAGUACUGAACAGAGCCUCAGCCCUGCAUUAUGUAGAAGUUGAUGCCUCUUAAACCUCACAGCUAAACCCAGAAAAAACCAGGUGAAGCCUUGUAAUAAAACCACUAGCCACCCAUGCAGAGGUAGAAUGGUGUUCUCUUUAGUCAGCUUCUCUCCCACAAUCCAGAACCCCAAACCCAGAUAAACCAACCCUAAACUUCCAUUAAGAAAGACAGCAGAAUUUAGCAUUGUGGAAAAGCAUAUAGACUGUUGAGGGGAUAAGAUCUUCACAGCUGGUGCUUUAUAUAUGAAGAUAAAUAAUAAGUAGAACAAGAGGAUGAUGUCAACAGAAAUGACCAAAAUAUGGUUGAGACAUGAACAUGGACAGAUGAUGGCUAGGAACCCAGAACUGCAUAUCUUUCCAAUUUUACUCCAACACCAGGAACUUCCACAGAAAACAGUCCAGAGAGUCUCACCCAUGUUGUAUCUUCUUGCCUUCACAAAACUGUAGCUGUAAUAAAGUAAAGAAAACAAAGGGUUAUUUAUUAGAUUUUUGGUGUUUUAAACUUGGAAGUAGUACUGAACAUGAGAACCAUCAAUGCAUGCCUAAUAGUUUCAAUUUUCUGUGGAACUUAAAAGUUAAAUUAUCAUACAGGACUGAUCUAAACUUAAUUUCACGGCCCCAGGUACCUAAGAUCGGGAGAAACAAUCCAAGAACAACUGAACUGACCAUAGACAUAGAACAUGAGAAAUUGCAGAAAACGAGUAGGGAGAAUGGGAUCCAAUGGAGAUGACUGAAACAUGAAAGCAGAAGACGAUGUGAACAAGAUUCAGGAAACUUAUGCAAAACCCCCCAUUUCUCUGUUUGAUUGUUGAGAAAAAUGCUGGAAAGUAAAUGAAAACCUUAAAUCUCAUAAGAAGUUGGGGAUGGAGUGUGCAGUUUUAAGAUUGAAAAUCUUCUUUUCUUUUACCAUGAGUCUCAGUAACCAAACACGCUAACAACCCCACUAGGUCUGUUCUCUCAAGCUGAAAGGAUGAGCACAAAAAAAAAAAAACAAGAACAACAAGAUCAAACACUUACCUUAUGAUACGUACGUUAGAUAAUGAUGUCAAACCACAACAAGAUCCAACACUUACCUUAUGAUACGUUAGACAAUGAUGUCAAACCAAACCAGAUUUUUUUAAGCUAAAAUUUCAAUCCAAAUUCCAAAUACUGAAAAAAGACUUGAGCAUUUAAGGUAGAAAAACAGAACCCAGAAGAAGAAAAUAGUAGAAAAUUAAUAUUCACAAUGAACCGAGUCAGCCCACAAAAAAAGGAAAAAAAAAAAGAAAAAAAAAGCGUCAUAUGAAGGACCCAAGAAUUUAAAGCAAUUAAUGAAGAAACAAACAGAAAGAUGGAGCUACUUCAGAGAGUGAAAAGUGAAAACCGCCUUGAACCAAUUAUAGAAAGCACAGAACAUGGGGGUAGAGAAAAUAUUAUGCUGAAGAAGUGCUACAAAAAAGACUUGAGCGUUUAAGGUAGAAAAACAGAACCCAGAAGAAGAAAAUAGUAGAAAAUUAAUAAUCACAAUGCACCGAGUCAGCCCACAAAAAAAAAAAAAAAAAAAAAAGCUUCAUAUUGAUUUUGUAGCACUUCUUCAGCAUAAUAUUUUCUCUACCCCCAUGUUCUGUGCUUUCUAUAAUUGGUUCAAGGCGGUUUUCACUUUUCACUCUCUGAAGUAGCUCCAUCUUUCUGUUUGUUUCUUCAUUAAUUGCUUUNNNNNNNNNNNNNNNNNNNNNNNNNNNNNNNNNNNNNNNNNNNNNNNNNNNNNNNNNNNNNNNNNNNNNNNNNNNNNNNNNNNNNNNNNNNNNNNNNNNNUCUCCACCCCCAUGUUCUGUGCUUUCUAUAAUUGGUUCAAGAUGGUUUUCACUUUUCAGUCUCUGAAGUAGCUCCAUCUCUCUCCAUCUUUUCCAUCUUUCUGUUUGAGAAACAAACAGAAAGAUGGAAAAGAUGGAGAGAGAUGGAGCUACUUCAGAGACUGAAAAGUGAAAACCAUCUUGAACCAAUUAUAGAAAGCACAGAACAUGGGGGUGGAGAAAAUAUUAUGCUGAAGAAGUGCUACAAAAUCCAUAUAGGUAAAAACCUGCAUGGGUCAUCCAGAAUCUCACCCUCCCUCAUCAAAUCAGUCUCUUUUUUUUCCUUCUUUUUUAGUGAGCAUAGGUCAUUCAGAAUCUCACUCUGCCUCAUCAAAUCAUGGGUGUUCUUCUCACCCUCUUCUACACCUCACUGCUCUCUUUCCUUGCAUUAUAUUAAUGUGUUGUUCGACUCAAACGACUAAUCGAGUUGUUCUCAUGCUUCACGAUGUCGCUGUUGAGGGAGAAGAUUAUCAAGUGUCUGUAUAUAUAGUUUUUCUGUCCAAUAUAAUAUUUCUAUGGUAUAGAUUCUCUAGCUAUAUGUGUAGAUUCGACUGAUGGCAUCAUUUCAUAAAGCUCAAGUAAUCCUCAGUUUGUGUGCCAAUGAUUUUGUUUUUUUAUUUUAUAUUAAAAUAUGGCAUUGUGACUUCCACUGACGAAGUCUCUUAACUCAACCCUAGGCCUACCACCUAAUAAUUUAAGUUUUUAAAACGAUUUUCCAAAAAAUCAUUUUCAAAAAUAUUUUUAUGAUAGUUUCUAAAAUAAAAUUAAGAAUCUGAAUUAUUUUUUAACCUUUCUUUUAUAUCUUCAAAUAUUUUUUUUAAAUAAUUUUUAUUUCUAAUAAUUUAUUUUUAAUCAUUCUCUGUGUUUAUAUAAAUAUUUCUUAAAACAAUUUCUAAAAAUAAUUAAAAAUAAUUAAAAUAUAUUAUCACAAAAUGUAAAAACAAGUUUUUAAAAGAAUAUUUUUUUGUUAAAAAAAUCACUAAUGUUUUAUUUUUAAGAAUUAAAAAAUAAUUUUUAAACAAGCUUUAAGUUUUCAAUUUGGUAUCAAUCAUGCUUGGUUCUUAAAAAAUACUAAGAAAAAAAAUGUUAAGAAAAAUGAUUUUUUUUUUUUCAUAUUUGAUUUUAUUACAAAAAAAUAAGAAAGAAAAUAAAAUAUAAUUAAAAUUAGUUAAAAAUUAAUUUUUUUUAAAUUUAAUAUUUAUAUAAUGAAUAAAAAUAAAUGAAUUAAAUUUUAAAAAAGUAUAUUAAAAUAGUUUACUAAAUUUAUUUUUAUUUUUUAUUUUUCUUCACUAUUUCUUUCUUUCAACUUUUCCUCUCAAAUUUUUCAGAACCAAACAUACCCUAAAGGUUAGCAUACAUUAUUAAACAAUUAAUGAAUAACUUAAACUUUUGGUUUAAAUAGAGUCCUAGCAUUAUUUAGUAGGGUUUAGAUUAAGAAUAUUGAGUAUUUGUAAACUUGUUAGUUUUAUUGAAAAAAAAAAUGAUUUUCUUGGAAGUUUCAAACAUUUCUUAUUGAAGUAAUUUAAUGGUAGCUGAAUAUAUAGAGGGAAACAUUUUCUAAGAUGAAGUCUCUACAUGUGAUGAUAUAAAUAGAUCAACACUUCAAACACAUGCACACAUGCUCUGCCCUUUAUUAGUAGAAAAUUUUAAGAUACUUAUUGAGUAUCUUAUUGAAACUUUCAAUUUUAAACCUUAUAUAUAUAUAUAUAUAGAUAUAUAUAUAUAAUUAACUCUUAUCUUAUGUUUAAUUCUUAAAAAAAGUGAGAAAGUUUUGAGGAAAAAUGAAAAAAAAAUUAUAAAUUAAUAAAUUAUUUUUAUUUAUUUCUUCGAAUUCAUUUAAUUUAUUUUUUAUAUAUGAAGAAUUAUAUAAUUUAAAAAAUAUCAUGGUCUAUUUAUUUUAGUUAUAUUUAAAUUUUUAAAAUUUCUAUGAUAAAUUAAAUACAAGUAAAUUAUUUUCUCUAAUUUUUUUUUUUCUAUAUUUUUAUGCAACCUAAAUCAUGAUGAAAAAGAAAAAGGAAAAAGAAAGAAAGAGGGGACCUAAAUAUGUUAAAUAAUAACAAUAAUAAUAAUAUUAAUAAUAAUAAAAACACACACACACUGAUUUCCCUCUUGCCACCUGAUUUACUAUUACAUAUUCACCUUAGAAAUUUUUUUGAAAUAACUUUUUUAGUGAUAGAGCUUUUCCUUUGUCUUUUUUACACAUUCAAGUUAGAAAAUUCACUCUUUUUUAAUAGCAAAGGUGACUUCCAAUGAUAUAAUUUUUAAUUUAAAAAAAAACAUUCAUUUUUAAUAAAGAUAUCUUUGUCUUUUGAAAGGUAUUGAUGUGAAAAAUAUGUUAUUUUUUAAAUUAUAAAUUUGGAAUCAUGCCAUUGAUUGCAUCUUUUCAUUAAUGGACCUCAACUUUCCAUAUUGAUAGAUACGUUCAGAAAGAGCCAUGCCUCCUAUGUCUGCCACUCAAGGUCAUGAUGCAAAGCAUCCAAAAUUCCUUGGCAGAUAGUAUUAUUAUUUGGAAGUUGGUGGUCGUCUAGUUGUUUUGAUUAAGAAAUAUUCGGUUGACCCAAUAAAUUUUUGGGUAGUUGUAGGGUGUUUUUGUUAGGCAUAGUUUGGGUAUUUGUGUAAACUGUUUAUGUACAGCCCCUUUUGCUCUUGCUUCUCGUUUUUGGCUCCAAUGGAAAACUUAAGAUAAAGCAAAACUCACAAUUUCUAAAAGGUAAUAUUGGUAUUAUAUAAGCCAUAUCAAACAUAAAAGAAUUUUUUGUACAAGUUAAAAUAGAAGUUUAGAAAAAAAAAAAAGCUAUAUUUUCCUAACUUGAUUUUUAUUUUUAUUUUUUGCAAUAUUUACUACCACAUAUAUAAGGUUUGGUUCGAGAAAAUGACAUCAUUUAUAAUUAAUAUUUGGUUUUGUAAGAUUAAGAAUGAGAUUAGAAAAUAUACUUUUAGAUGCAUGGAUAUUAUAAUCCUAUGAGUAUAUUUAGUGUAUUCAUGGAAGUGAGAUUUUUAUAUUUAAUUUUCAAGGAUUAGGAACACUAUUAAAAUAACUUAUUUAGAUUGAAUAAUUUAUACCUAAUCUCUAAAUGUAGCAAUGGAAUUUACUGAUUUGAUUAUAAUAAAGUGUUGGGAAGAGAGAAAAUUGAUAUUGGGAAAAAUAUUUUUUUUAAUACGAAAGUAAAUUAAAUAUAAUUUAUAUUAAUUAAAAUUUUAUAUAUUUUAAAUUUGUUUAAUCUUUACAAGACCAUCGGCAAAGAACAAUUCUUAAACGGAUGCUCCAAUAAUACACAAUAAUGCAAGUUAAUUAAAAAUCAAAUAAUUUUUUUAAAAGAAAAUGUAAAUUACAAAUUUCAUGAUGUUUCCUUUUGCACAAAAAUGAAAGAUUAAAAAUGGUUUCUAAUUUGUCCUUGUCAUAAAAUAUCUUUUAUGUGUGUUCCUUGAGACAUAUUGAAUUGAUCAAUAUCCAAGUUAUUAUGACGUCUUCUUAUGCAUUUCUUUCGAACUUAUCAAAUUAUUAGAAGGAAUGUAUCUAAUAAAUUUUAAAUUUUUCUUCACUUUUUGUAUCCUUGUUAUUUUCUUAUUAACAUUUGUUUAAUCCUUUCACUUCUUACUUUCUUCAUCAUAAUUAUAGUGAAUUUUGAAUUGAUAUUUUCUUUAUCAAAAUUAUUGUGAAUUGAUAUUUUCUUCAUCAUAAUUAUUAUGAACAAACAUCCAUGAUAAUUAGUCUUUGACAAUUUAUUUGUGACAAUGUAUUUAUAGCAAAAAAUGAACCAUACCUAAAAUUAGGUCAAGUUAUUCUAAUUGUUCAAAUUAACUCUUUAGUAAUAAGAUCAAGUAAAUCUUAUUUGGCUACUCUAGAAGCAAAUAUUCAUGAACAUUAUGGGGAAAUCUUUUAUGAAGGAGAUACAUUAAUUACACUUAUAUAUGAAAAAUCAAGAUUUGAUAAUAUAACGCAUGGCCUUCCAAGAGUGGAACAAGUAUAUAUAUAUAUAUAUAUAUAUAUAUAUAUAUAUAUAUAUAUAUAUAUAUAUAUAUAUAUAUAUAUAUAUAUAUAUAUAUCAUAUGGUUAAGUUUUUGGAGGUCAUUUGUAAGUUUUUAUUAACAUGGUAUUAAAGAAGGUGAAUAAUUUUUUUCUUAAAGUCUCAAAGAAGGAAGCCAUAACAAAUUAUGAUCCCAAAAUCUCUAUCAAUUUCUUCCAUCUCUAUAUUUCUAAUUAAAUGCUUGGUAACUUGGUCACUAUUAGAAUAUCUUUCUAGUUUGUGCUUAACUAAAAAAAAAUGUUUUUAUUGUUAUGCAUUCAUUUUGUCCUAGAAAUUACCUUUAAAAUGUUUUCAUAAAUUUUUUUUUUAUAAUUUUAGUAUUUUUUUAAAAAAAAAUUAAUUAAACAUAAGUCCAACUUUUCAAUUGCAAGUUAAGUGUUGUAGGAGUUUUAUCUAAUAAGAUCUAGUGUGAUAUGUUUUUUUAUCAUAAAGCAAUGGAAGAAGAAAUAAUUACUUUUGUUAUAUAUAUAAUUGAUUUCAUAUUUAAAACCAUAUUUAAAAAAUAUUUUAGCAAAUAUAAAAACAAUUUACAUUUUUUUAAAAUUAAUGAAAUAAAACUUUGAUUUUAACAUCAAAGCAUUUACGUACAUUUUCAAAAUAUUAAUAAAUCCGAAUAAGAAAUCUAAAAAGAAUUAUCUUUGGCAUUUAAAGGUUGAUUUUAAAUUUCAAAUGACUCCCAAAUGAAACUUGAAUGCAAUCAUGAUCAAAGCCUAUAACACCAUUGGAAAUAUUAUUAUUUCAUUAUUUUAUUUACAAAAAUUUGCACUUUAGUACAUAAUAAUAUAACCAUAUAGUUCUAUCAUAUAUUAUAGUUUUAUCAUACGUGAUUUGAGUUUAACCUUUAUUAGUUUUGAUGUAACUUGGGUUUUGGUAUGACUUACCCUCAACAUCAGUUUAUAUGACUUGUCUUAAUGUGACUCGAGUUGUAGCAUAGCUUGAGUUUUAAACAAUUUGAUUUCAAAUUUAAAAAAAAAAACAUAAAAAAAAAGCCCUUUUUAUUUUGAAUAUCUUGAUAAUUCAAAAGACUUUGUAAGAAUUGAAGAUUUGGAGAAUUCGAUUAACUCAUUUUAAUUUUAUAACAUGAAUUCUAAACAAAUCAUAAGUUGAUUUAGUUAAUAAAAUGGUGGCUGUUAGCAUCAAUGCCACCAAACCACUUAUUUUUGUGUAGCCCUCACAAUCAUAGAAAUUGAACGACACUUCAAUAUCUACAGCUCUCCUCUUAUUUAGUUAAAGACUUAGUUGAAAAUUCUUGAGUAGAAAAAUAUAGGAAAAAGAUAAUAAAAAAAUAAAAUAAUAAAUUUUAAAAUAAUAAAUGACUUUUUACUUGUUUCUUCUAACUUAAAUAUAUAUAAAUUAAAUAAUUUAAAAUAUAUAUAAAAUUCUAAUUAUUUUAAUUAUAUUUGAUUUUUAAAAAAAUAAUUCUACGAUGAAUUAAACAUAAGAAAAUGAAAAAUCAUUAUUUUUAAUAUUAUUUUCAAUACUUUUGGGUUAAUUUUUGAGUCAUUAAAUCACAAUUAAAAAAAAAGAGAGAAGAAAAGGGGAGUUUAAGACCAAAAUAAUAUAUUUGUAAAAAAAAAUGAUAAGAAUAGUAUCCAUUUGAAAAUAUUUGUCAAAGUAGUCUUCUUUAUCCACGUAAGCAUCCACAUGGAUUUUAAGUGUAAAGAACCACCGUUGGUGACUGUGGUUUUAGUACUUACAAAAAUUUCCUUAAAACCACAGUUACAAACUGUGGUUUUACAAUUUCUCUUAGAACCACAGUUAUUAACUGCGGUUUUAAAAGAAGUUUCCUUAAAACCACAGUUACAAACUGUGGUUUUACAAUUUCCCUUAAAACCACAGUUAGUAACUGUGGUUUUACAAUUAUUUUCAAUUCACAUCUAUUUUAAUGGUGCUGUAAUUUNNNNNNNNNNNNNNNNNNNNNNNNNNNNNNNNNNNNNNNNNNNNNNNNNNNNNNNNNNNNNNNNNNNNNNNNNNNNNNNNNNNNNNNNNNNNNNNNNNNNUACAAAAAUUUUCCUUAAAACCACAGUUACAAACUGUGGUUUUACAAUUUCUCUUAGAACCACAGUUUUUAACUGCGGUUUUAAAAGAAGUUUCCUUAAAACCACAGUUACAAACUGUGGUUUUACAAUUUCCCUUAAAACCACAGUUAGUAACUGUGGUUUUACAAUUAUUUUCAAUUCACAUCUAUUUUAAUGGUGCUGUAAUUUUAAUAUUAUUUUUAAAAUAUUUUUUUAUCAAAAUACCCAUAAAACCACAGUUAGUAACUGUGGUUUUACAAUUAUUUUCAUUCUGCAUAUAUUUUAAUAGUGUUGUAAUUUUAAUAUUAUUUUUAAAAUAUUUUUUUAUCAAAAUUACAAUUAUGUUGUAAUUUUCACAAAUAUUUUUAAGGGGACUUAUGUAUAAAAAAGUAUGGGAUUUUCGAAUUUUGCUUUUCACAAAUUUUUUUGUUACGACUGUUUUAAAAUAUAUAUAUAUAUAUAUUAUCUUUAUUUUUUCAUAUUUUCCUUGAAAAUUUGAGAAAAUAAUUUGGUCUACAUGCAUUCCCAUAAAAAUUUAUAUAUUUAUAGUAAAUAAAAUAUUUAUUUGUUUUACAAAUAUUUUCACAUAUGAACUAAAGAAAAUUAUUUAUUCAUAUUAUUUUUAAAUUUUUAAAUAACUAAAGAAAUUGUUUAUAUUAUUUUAAAAUUUUAUCUUUUCAUAUGAAAAUUAAUGUCAGUGAUUAUGAUUUUAGGUUAUUUAUUAUUAAGUAUGAUUUGAACUUAUGUCUGGGUUAAAAUGUAUAAUUUUUUAAUUAUAUGAAAGAAAAAUAGGUAGUGGUUGUAAUAAUUUAUUUAAUUAGAAUUUAUUUCAUUUAGACUUUAGGAUGCAUUUGAGUUUUAUUUGUUUAAAUUAUCAAGGAAACAUGUGAAUAACAUAACAUCACUAAUUUGAAUAACUGUGGUUUUAUGGUUGUUUUGAUAAAAAAAAUAUUUUAAAAAUAAUAUUAAAAUUAUAACACCAUUAAAAUGGGAACAAAUUAAAAAUAAUUGUAAAGUUAGGAAAUUGUAAAACCACAGUUUGUAACUGUGGUUUUAAGGAAACUUAUUUUAAAACCGCAGUUAGUAACUGUGGUUCUAAGAGAAAUUGUAAAACCACAGUUUGUAACUGUGGUUUUAAGGAAAUUUUUGUAAGUUCUAAAACCACAGUUACCAACGGUGGUUCUUUACACUUAAAAUCUAUGUGGAUGCUUACGUGGAUAAAGAAGACUACUUUGACAAAUAUUUUCAAAUGGAUACUAUUCUUAUCAUUUUUUUUUAUAAAUAUAUUAUUUUGGUCUUAAACUCAGAAAAGGGGGGACCUAAAAUAUUGUUAACCAAGAAAAAGGUUUUAUCUUCUGCUAGGUAAUGAUUGUUGACUGAAACAGCUUUUCUUUUGAGUUUAAGACCAAAAUAAUAUAUUUGUAAAAAAAAAUCAUAAGAAUAGUAUCCAUUUGAAAAUAUUUGUCAAAGUAGUCUUCUUUAUCCACGUAAGCAUCCACAUAGAUUUUAAGUGUAAAGAACCACCGUUGGUAACUGUGGUUUUAGAACUUACAAAAAUUUCCUUAAAACCACNNNNNNNNNNNNNNNNNNNNNNNNNNNNNNNNNNNNNNNNNNNNNNNNNNNNNNNNNNNNNNNNNNNNNNNNNNNNNNNNNNNNNNNNNNNNNNNNNNNNUUAAUGGUGUUAUAAUUUUAAUAUUAUUUUUAAAAUAUUUUUUUUAUCAAAACAACCAUAAAACCACAGUUAGUAACUGUGGUUUUACUAAUGGUGUUGUAAUUCAAAUUAGUGAUGUUAUGUUAUUCACGUGUUUCCUUGAUAAUUUAAACAAAUAAAACUCAAAUGCAUCCUAAAGUCUAAAUGAAAGAAAUUCUAACUAAAUAAAUUAUUACAACCAUUACCUAUUUUUCUUUCAUAUAAUUAAAAAAUUAUACAUUUUAACCAAGACAUAAGUUCAAAUCAUACUUAAUAAUAAAUAACCUAAAAUCAUAAUCACUGACAUUAAUUUUCAUAUGAAAAGAUAAAAUUUUAAAAUAAUAUAAACAAUUUCUUUAGUUAUUUUAAAAUUUAAAAAUAAUAUGAAUAAAUAAUUUUCUUUAGUUCAUAUGUGAAAAUAUUUGUAAAACAAAUAAAUAUUUUAUUUACUAUAAAUAUAUAAAUUUUUAUGAGAAUGCAUGUAGACCAAAUUAUUUUCUCAAAUUUUCAAGGAAAAUAUGAAAAAAUAAAGAUAAUAUAUAUAUAUAUAUAUAUUUAAAACAGUCGUAACAAAAAAAUUUGUGAAAAGCAAAGUUCUAAAAUCCCAUACUUUUUUAUACAUGAGUCCCCUUAAAAAUAUUUGUGAAAAUUACAACAUAAUUGUAAUUUUGAUAAAAAAAUAUUUUAAAAAUAAUAUUAAAAUUACAACACCAUUAAAAUAUAUGAGGAUUGAAAAUAACUGUAAAAUCAUAGUUACUAACUGUGGUUUUAUGGGUAUUUUGAUAAAAAAAAAUAUUUUAAAAAUAAUAUUAAAAUUACAACACCAUUAAAAUAGAUGUGGAUUGAAAAUAAUUGUAAAACCACAGUUACUAACUGUGGUUUUAUAGUUAUUUUGAUAAAAAUUAUUUUAAAAAUAAUAUUAAAAUUACAACACCAUUAGUAAAACCACAGUUACUAACUGUGGUUUUAUGGUUGUUUUGAUAAAAAAAAUAUUUUAAAAAUAAUAUUAAAAUUAUAACACCAUUAAAAUGGGAACGGAUUAAAAAUAAUUGUAAAACCACAGUUUGUAACUGUGGUUUUAAGGAAACUUCUUUUAAAACCGCAGUUAGUAACUGUGGUUCUAAGAGAAAUUGUAAAACCACAGUUUGUAACUGUGGUUUUAAGGAAAUUUUUGUAAGUACUAAAACCACAGUCACCAACGGUGGUUCUUUACACUUAAAAUCCAUGUGGAUGCUUACGUGGAUAGAGAAGACUACUUUGACAAAUAUUUUCAAAUGGAUACUAUUCUUAUCAUUUUUUUUUACAAAUAUAUUAUUUUGGUCUUAAACUCUUUUCUUUUUUCCUCUUCAUCUCCUGGUCAAAGUGACUUUUAUCUUGAGGCAAAAGUGUCAUCUUUUCAUUUGGCUCCAUCUUUUUCCUCCAUGUGUUAUAUCAAAUUGGGGACCUCAACUUUCCAUAUUCACAGUCUCAGAGGUCAUGAUACUCCAUUCUGCUAACCUUACACUCUCUUAUCCUAACCAUAUGCAUUUUUGUUCUUACAUCAAAACCUUGGUCCCACGUCCAUAUGUAUAACAAAUGAAUAGAUAAAUCUAAUAUUAUUUUCAAAGGAAUAUUGUUCAUCUUAAAUGAGGAGACCCCUUACACAUUUUCUAACUAUCUAUAUUUUAACUAAUCAUGUUUCAAUAUAUAUAUUGUGGACCUGGGAUCAUGUUCCCACUUGAAGGGAAUGGGAAGACUUUUUUUUAUUAAAUAAAAAAUGGAUUUUUAUUUAAAAUAAAAUAAGAAAGAAAAUUCUAAAUGUAACUCAUUGAAAAUACAAAUUUAUGAAAAAUCAAGUUUAGGUCAGGAAUCAAAUUAUUUAUUAGAAAAGUACAAAGAUGAAUCAUAGAACCCAUCUAAAUCAUAAUAAUAGGUCUCUACUAAUCAAAUUGAGAUAAGCACAAUAACUAAUAAGGUAAUCAAUGAAUACUAAACAAUGAUCAAUCAUAACACAGUACUAUAACAAAAAGUAAUCAAACGAAAAAGAGAAAGGAGCGUACAUAAACAACAAGCAAAGUGUUUCAUGAGAAACAAGGUUAGUAUAUAAUGACAAGUAAAAAAAUCUCAUAUAUCGCAAUAACAAGGCAAAGACAAUUUAUAUUCAAUAGGUACAAUACUUGAAUUAUUAUCAAAAGAGGGUAUCAUAUAUGUAGGCUCCACCAAUGCCUAAUUUAGAUUUGCAUAAAUUAAUUCUAUAAAACUCCAUCUUCCUAAUAAUCAUGGAGAAGGAUCAUAGAAAUUUGGAAGAAAUUCCAUUAUUUUUGGAAAUAUGAAAUCUAUUCAUAUUUACUAAAGAAAAAAAAAAGAUCAAGAAAUUCGAGAACUUAUUAUCAAGGAAAAUAAAGUAAAAAUGCAUGAGAGCAGGAACUGAUUAUUUAUUAUUAAAAAAAAACUGGUUUUUUAUUGUCUAGGAAUGAAUUAUAUCAACUAAAAACAGAUUUGAAAACCCAAUUAAAAGCAUAUAAAAUCACACGGAAAUGGGAAAUGCGCACCCGGAAGGAGAAGCACUAAAGGUGGCCAUGCAAGCCAAAAUUACAAGCACGUGGAAGGGAAGGUUAAUUAAAAAGCUGUCUGUUAUUUUGGAAACUGGAUAAGAGGCAAAAGUCAUCUGCUUCAAUCCCAUGUCUAGGAGAUGAUCCUCCUUCCUAACUUUUCAAGCCCUUUGACAAACAGCCCCAUACAAAGAGUAAAAGAUGCAUGAGUUACAUACUAUUUUUUUUUUUUUUUUGAAAAUGCAUGAUCAAAGUCUCGCAGACACAGUACAUUUGUACCUCUACAAAAAUUUGGGAGGAUGAAAUUUUAUGCUGGCGCGAGUGAUCCAUUUCCAAUACCUCAAGUUAGUGCUUUCAGUCCAUGAUCUAGGUUUCUUUCUUUUUUAUUUUAUUAUUUCUUUUCCCUUUUUUAAGGUAAUAAAAAGAGAAUACCUUGGUCUGCUCAACAUGUUUGAGCAAAAUAAAAUUUGGGCAAAUCAGCUGAGUUUAUAUCGACCUGAAGCACAAGAUCUUUGAGAAGCCUUUUAUAGACAUGGUGAUCAUGUCCAGAGACGAUGUUUUGAAAUCAAAUUCAUUAUUGCACACUGAAACUAUCCAGUAGGUAGAACGACUCAAAACUGCAAAAGCAAACCAUUAGCUUUUAAAACCUGUUUCAAGUUUCAGAGCCAAUCUCCCGAGGUGUUACUGCCAUUUGAAGAGUGAGACCAGUACUCCUUGACAAGCUGCCCAAACAGCGAUCCCUCCUUCUUUAUCAGCUUCAUCGGCUCAUCGUACUCUACCAAUUUUCCUACAGAAGCAAAAGCACUAGUUAUUUGAAUUUGUUUCACUAGAUUGAUCCCAACUAGGAUGAAAUAUUCCUUCAUAGAAACUCACCAUCACUGAUAGCAAGCACCAUUGUGCAGUCCAUCACAGUUGGGAUUCUGUGGGCUACUGUUAUUACAGUGCAGUCUGCAAAUUCUGUUCUUAUGGUCUUCUGGAGAAUGGAGUCUGUUGCAUUGUCUAUAGAUGCAGUGGCUUCAUCAAGCACUAGUAUCCGACUUCUCUUCAGUAGAGCACGUCCCAAACAGAAUAAUUGUCUCUGGCCCAUGCUCCAAUUUGAUCCGUCUAGUACAACUGAAGGGCAGACAGAUCGAUUGUUAGCAAGAGUUUUUGAGUCCGAAGAAUGGUACCUGUGUGUAUGAUGCUUCAUACCUAAGGAGUCCAGGCCCUCUUUUUUCUCUUGAACAGCCCCUCGAAGUUGACAUUUUUCCAGAACCUGUCACACAUUCAUGAGAAACAAUCUUAGUCUAGGAUAUAAAGUAAAUUAAACUUAUUAGGAAGCUGUUCUUUUUCAAGGGACUACGACAACAAAUAUUUGGUAUGGAAAGAAAAUUAGGAGGUAUUUAACAGCACUCAAACAUCUUUGUGUUCCAAAACACAGAAUAUCAGGAGUUCGAUUAAUGACAUCAAAAUCUGACAGCAUUUAAUUAGUUUGAUAGAGUAGAAACUGCCAUGUCUAUGCACUUAAGAGUGAAGCCUGCUUCAUAACACUAGCAGAAUCUUUUAGAAAUUUGUAUCAUAUCAUGAUCGAAUCCUACAAUUAGCAACCACAACAAAUUAAUAGGAAACUCACCUCCCAUAUUUCUUCAUCAGUAUGCAGUGAUAAAGGGUCAAGAUUGCAUCUUAUAGACCCGCUAAAAAGAGUUGGUUCUUGUGGAAUGAUCCCAAGACGUGAUCUGAGAUCAUGUAGCCCAAUUGUGGAAAUAUUUAUGCCAUCUAUAAUUAUCUGUCCCUCUGUAGGCUCUACCAAACGAAACAAAGCGCUGAUAAGAGUUGUCUUUCCACUACCAGUCCGGCCAACGAUCCCAAUUUUCUGUCCUCCUCCAAAUUUGCAACUAAUUCCUUGAAGAACUAGAGGAGCAUUGAGCCUAUACCUGACCUGCUCAAUGUCAUUUCAUCUACUAUAUUAAUCUCUAUAAAUCUUGAAGUUGUAGAACAGACAAAGAUACUCAAAUUCUUACUGAUUUCACCUUUACCUUCAAAUCAUAAAUUUCCACUUCACCAAUAGCAGGCCAACUGACUGGUGGUCGAUUACUCUCUAUGACUUCUGGGGCUUCGCUAGGAAUAUUCGUGUACUGUUCUAAUCUUUCAACAGAAACAAUCAUAUUUGCUAAAUGGCACUGGUUUUGGACGGAAAACACAAGGAAUACAUUCAUUGAAAGACCAUACGAUAAUGCCAUUCCAAUAAAUCCUGCCAUCAGAACAUUGACAACGAAAAUGCUCGUUAGACAAUAAUUCCAUAAAUGGUUGUCAAUUACUAAGAUUACUUUAAAUAUCACAUUGACCAAGUUAGUUUUGAAUAUCAAAUACUGUGUAUGUAGGAAUUUAGUAGAAGGGUUUUUCUUUUGGAUUAUGCACUGAUCUGUUUGUAUGAUUAUUGUGUAAGAAUCAUGGACUUGUUAGCUCACUUUGUUCUUGUUAUAACCCAAGUUUCUAGUUAUGAUGUUGAGAAAGUUGGAGCUAAAUUCCGUUGAUUAUAGUGAUUUUUUAUUACUACCAACUGAGCAGCUAUUGUUUCAUGAUCUACAAAGCCCUAUCUUGUAUUCAUUUCACUCUACUCAAGGUCAAGUAGGAAACUAAGAUAGGUAACUUUCCUAUUUAAUGUUGGAUAUUGUUAUUGGAUUUUAGGUCAUCACUGAAUUGCCUCUAAAUGUUUCAUCCUAUUGAAGUUCCUUCUUUUCAUUGAGAAAUAUGAAAAAUUAUCGGAGACCCUGGGUUGUUCAUCUAUUUCUUUUUCAGUUAAAAACAAAUGCUAGCUAGCAAGCAGUCAUAGCAGGCAACAGAAAAGCCUUUUUUUUUUUUUAUCUUGAAUGUUCUGAUGCUUUCGAAGAAUUUACUAUUUGCGCCCUUAAUCAGACACUUCAUCUUUAUCAGUUUCCAGUUGUCUAUCUUACCUACUGAAAAAUCCUAAUGGUAUCCUCUUGUAAGGAUCAAAAUUCACAUGGCCAAUUACUAGUCUCAAAGUUGCACAGGCCCCCUUAGGUUAAACAUGUUAUAAACUUCUAGGGAGUUAAACUGUUGAAAUUGAAGCAA